GAUGAACGCUAGCGGCAGGCUUAACACAUGCAAAUCGAGGGGUAUAUGUCUUCGGAUAUAGAGACCGGCGCACGGGUGCGUAACGCGUAUGCAAUCUGCCUUUCACAGAGGGAUAGCCCAGAGAAAUUUGGAUUAAUACCUCAUAGUAUUAUGUUUUGGCAUCGAGAUAUAAUUAAAGUCACAACGGUGAAAGAUGAGCA
rnacentral:rRNA from 1 species